UUUGGAUUUCAUUUUGUACAUAAUUGGAAAUCAUUGAAAAAUUUUUAAAUGUACUUAUGUUUUUAUUAUUUUAGUAAGUUUUUAGGGUUGUGCUAUGACUAUUUUAGAACAUUUUGUCACCACCCCAAAUUUACUCCUGCUCCUUGCUGUAGGCAACUACUGCUUUGCUUUCUUGGUGUCUCAGUUUGCCUUUUCUGAAUAUUUCGUAUAUAUGGGAUCAUGCAGUUGUAGCUUCUGGCAUCUGGCUGCUUUUAUUCAGCAUAUUUUGAAGUGCAUUCAUGUUGUAACAUGCGUCAGUAUUUUGUUCCUUUUUAUUACCCGAUAAUAUUCCACGGUUGAUGAUUCUACCUUUUGUUUAUCCAUUCCCAGCUGAUGGACACUGGGAUUAUUUCCAGUUCUUUGCCAUUGUGAGGAAUCUGCUGAGAACAUCUGUGCAUAUCUUUAUGGGGAGAGGUGGCCCAUGGCCUGUGGGAUCUUAGUUCCCUGACCAGGAAUGGAACCCACACCCCUGCAGUGGUAGCUCAGAGUCUCGACCACCGGACUGCUGGGGAAGACCCUGUCUACAAGGUCUUUAAAGUGGAAGUUGCUCACUUGGGUAACUCCUCGGACUGUAGCCCUCCAGGCUCCUCUGUCCGUGGAAUUCUCCAGUAUUCUUGCCUGGAGAACCCCAUGGACAGGAGCCUGACGGGCUGCAGUCCACGGGGUUGCAGAGUUGGACGCCACUGAGCGCCUGGACUGAGCUGAAAUGGCAUCACCUCAGACCCAGGUUUUUUCCGUCUUCUAGCACUGUCAUACCUUUCCUGUUGGGCUGUCCUCUUAGACUUUCUCUUUCCUCAUGGUCCUAGGAUGGCUGUCAUAGUUCUGCUUAACAAUUCAAACCAAAAGUGGCCUGGAAAAAAUAGGUAUUUUCACUUGAGUGUCAAACAAACAGCCCAGGAAAACCUUUCCCAGAACCUCUUCAGCAAACUUAGUCUCUUGCCUUACUGGCCAGAAUUGGAUCAGAUGCUUGUUGCUAAAGCAUUCAUUGGCAGGAGGAAUGGAAAUUGCCACAACUGGUUUAGACUAGAACUGUUUAACCCUGGUGUUAAAUAUCCUUUUGUCUUAUCUCUUUUGGAAGAAGCUUUUUUCUCCAUGUCUUUUGGUUCUCUGCUGUAGAUUAGACAGGUAAGUUUUUCUGAACAGCUUAGUUUCAUAUCACUGAGUUGUUCCUAUUCAGUACUUCAGAGCAACUAAUAUCUGUUGAAAUCAUACUCUAUAUCAUUAGCUGUGCUAAAUUCUAG
ensembl:lncRNA